rnacentral:lncRNA from 1 species
AUGCAAGUCAUGGUCAGGUCUCUUACAUAUUAGCUAACGGUGUGUUUGGUUAUACUUUUUGACUUUUAAUUUUUAAUUUUUAAAAAAUAUAUAUUUUUUAAUUUUUACUAUUAAGUAAAAAUAAAAUCAUAAAAAAUAUGUUUGAUAACUAUAUUACUAUAAAGCAAAAAGUAAUAUUUGGAGACGGCAGAUGAAGAGCUCGACAAAGAAGAA